rnacentral:rRNA from 1 species
GAUCAUGGCUCAGGAUGAACGCUGGCGGCGUGCCUAACACAUGCAAGUCGAACGGAGCUGCUUUGAUGAAGUUUUCGGAUGGAUUUAAAACAGCUUAGUGGCGGACGGGUGAGUAACGCGUGGGUAACCUGCCUCACACUGGGGGAGUAACAGUUAGAAAUAGCUGCUAAUACCGCAUAAGCGCACGGUUCCGCAUGGAACAAGUGUGAAAACUACCGUCGGUGUGAGAUGGACCCGCCGU